rnacentral:rRNA from 1 species
UGAGGAAUAUUGGUCAAUGGGCGAGAGCCUGAACCAGCCAAGUCGCGUGAGGGAAGACGGUCCUAUGGAUUGUAAACCUCUUUUGCCGGGGAGCAAAGAGCGGCACGUGUGCCGCGCCGAGAGUACCCGGAGAAAAAGCAUCGGCUAACUCCGUGCC